GUUUCUGGAAGCUCAAUUGGUUGAGCGCAGACUUGAAAUCUGAAGUGCAGGUUCGAUUCCUGCCCAGGACCACCA
rnacentral:tRNA from 1 species